rnacentral:rRNA from 1 species
UACAGAGGGUGCAAGCGUUAAUCGGAUUUACUGGGCGUAAAGCGUGCGUAGGCGGUUCAUUAAGUCGGUUGUGAAAUCCCUGGGCUUAACCUGGGAACUGCAGUCGAUACUGGUGGACUAGAAUGCGGUAGAGGGUGGCGGAACUCCGGGUGUAGCGGUGAAAUGCGUAGAUAUCCGGAAGAACACCGACGGCGAAGGCAACCACCUGGGCCUGCAUUGACGCUGAGGUACGAAAGCGUGGGGAGCAAACAGG